AUUGAGAGGUCUCUAUUCCAUUGUCCAGAUCACCUUUUGAGAUAGCAAUGGAAGGAAUAAUUCCUCCAAAUCC
ensembl:misc_RNA